AUCUAUUUUGCAAAUAUUUGGGGAGACAUUGAUUUUUCUCCCCGUGCUCCCCCGUUCUUCCCUGCGGAGUGCGCUGCGCCGCCCAGCCCUGUCGCCCCCCCGGAGGUGAUCCCUCCCUCCUGCCUCCCCGCCAGCCUGACCUGUGCCUGGCUCGCGGGCCGCAGUCUCGGCCCCGGCGCGCCCCUGGCAGCUCUCGGCGCGAUG
rfam:Erinaceus europaeus unplaced genomic scaffold scaffold00123, whole genome shotgun sequence